rnacentral:rRNA from 1 species
GAGAUGCGCGAAAGUUCGCCGGCGUUUUCGGACUUGUUCGGCGCGUCGACGAGUGCGUAUUUUUCUGACUGACUCGCCAGAUGGUAUUCGUAAUGGUGGUCGCUGCGGCCUCCUAGAGCGCCGUAGCGAUACCAGUCUGCGACGAAUCUUCGAGCCUCUUUCCGACCCGUCUUGAAACACGGACCAAGGAGUCUAACGUGUGCGCGAGUCGCGGGGUAUCGAGCAGUCGUUGUUCGCAUCGGCUGCUCGUUAUAAUACGAAACCCGUCUCGUUUUACGAAAGGCGCAAUGAAAGUGAAUUUUGGGGAAGAUGACGUUACCGAGUUCACGUUUCAUGUUCUUGUAAUAUGACCGGUCGUCCGCAUUCCCAGGGUGUCUCGAAGUGCGAUUUUAUUGCGGACCGUCGUUCCUUCGGGGGUGGCGGUCGGAUUUGAUCGAGCUGAGGCGCACCUAUAGCGUACACGUUGGUACCCGAAAGAUGGUGAACUAUGCCCGGCCAGGAUGAAGUCAGGGGAAACCCUGAUGGAGGUCCGAAGUGGUUCUGA